rnacentral:rRNA from 1 species
AUUGAACGCUGGCGGCAGGCCUAACACAUGCAAGUCGAACGAGUGGCGGACGGGUGAGUAAUGUCUGGGAAACUGCCUGAUGGAGGGGGAUAACUACUGGAAACGGUAGCUAAUACCGCAUACCAUCGGAUGUGCCCAGAUGGGAUGAGCUAGUAGGGGGGGUAAAGGCUACCCUAGGCGACGAUCCCUCGCUGGUCUGAGAGGAUGACCAGCCACACUGUAACUGAGACACGGUCCAGACUCCGACGGGAGGCAGCAGCGGGGAAUAUUGCACAAGUGGCGGAAGCCUGAUGCAGCCAUGCCGCGUGUAUGAAGAAGGCCUUCGGGUUGUAAAGUACUUUCAGCGGGGAGGCGUUACUCGCAGAAGAAGCACCGGCUAACUCCGUGCCAGCAGCCGCGGUAAUUC